rnacentral:piRNA from 1 species
GGGUGUUUCCUGUAGCCAGAAAACUCGGG